GAGCGGAUCGAGACGGAAGCUUGCUUCCGUCUUGGUUAGCGGCGGACGGGUGAGUAACACGUAGGCAACCUGCCUGCAAGACCGGGAUAACCUUCGGAAACGAAAGCUAAUACCGGAUACGCGGUUUUCUCGCAUGGGAGAAUCGGGAAAGACGGCUUCGGCUGUCGCUUGGAGAUGGGCCUGCGGCGCAUUAGCUAGUUGGUGGGGUAACGGCUCACCAAGGCGACGAUGCGUAGCCGACCUGAGAGGGUGAUCGGCCACACUGGGACUGAGACACGGCCCAUACUCCUACGGGAGGCAGCAGUAGGGAAUCUUCCGCAAUGGACGCAAGUCUGACGGAGCAACGCCGCGUGAGUGAGGAAGGUCUUCGGAUCGUAAAGCUCUGUUGCCAGGGAAGAACGGAUGAGGGAGUAACUGCCCUGGUCAUGACGGUACCUGAGAAGAAAGCCCCGGCUAACUACGUGCCAGCAGCCGCGGUAAU
rnacentral:rRNA from 1 species